ensembl:lncRNA
GUCAUUCGGGCGCGGCGUUUCUUGACGUCUUGCUAGUAUUGCUAGCACAGACGCUAAAUAACGGCUGGCAGAAAGAAAUUUAGCGAUUUAGUUUACGAUAUGGUUUGUGUUUAAAUCAUUUCUAAUCACCGCGACUUUAUUUCUUGCUUUUAGUCGCGAGCUUGAACAGUACGAUGACACGAGGAUGAGGAAACACUGAGGUGAAUAGAUCGGCAUGUCAGUUUGUAGAGGAUUAUCCCAGAGCCCUACUGAAUCCUGGAUUCUGAUUGGUCAGAAGCAUGUUAGGAGGUUGGGGUCAGCUAUGAUACAGUGCCCCCUGGAGCAGAGAGGGUUAAGGGCCUUGCUCAAGGGCCCAACAGUGGCAGCUUGGCAGUGCUGAACCCCCAACCUUCCGGUCAGUAACCCAGAGCUAAGCCACCACUGCCCCAAUGCAGGUUUAUAUUAAUACGUUAUCGUUUCUAUAGUAACAGAUCAUUCACAGGGACUUUCAUGGCGGCAGACGCUCGGAUUAAAAGUAAGGACGCGUUGGUUUAACAUUUACGGAAGGAGUCGCCAGUGUCUGUGAGAACAGGAAGUAACUGGUUUGGAUGCUCCACAACUUUAAAUGUAGCUGUAAACGGAUAAAAAAAUUUUUUAAGUAUGAUGCCAUAGUGUAAUAAAUAUGGUGCAAGGGGUGUAAUAAAACACACCAUGUUGUGCUGUUAUUAUAGGGUAUUGUAAUAAUCAACGUUGUCAUGGUAACAGUACGUCGGCUACAUCGUAGGACCUCGUCGUUGAUUAUUUUACUGUU